rnacentral:rRNA from 1 species
AUGACAGCAGCCAAGACCAAGAGGCGCAUGCCCGAUGGAACCGCCGGACGGAGGCCUCGGAAAAGGGCACGCGAUCUCCCUAGUCCCAGCCACGGCGAUCUCAUCAGCGACCUUCCCGAUGCCAUCCUAGGGAGCAUCAUCUCCCUCCUCCCAACCAAGGACGGCGCCCGCACGCAAGCUAUCUCCCGGAGAUGGUGUCCGCUCUGGCGAUCCGCGCCUCUCAACCUGGACGCCCACGACAUCUGCCUCAACAAGUUCAAGCUCUCCUCCAUCGUCUCCAGCAUCCUCCGUGAUCACCCAGGCCCGGCCCGCCGCUUCUCGUUCAACCACAUUCGCCUGCACAAACCGAAGAAAAAGUUGGCUGAGGACGCUGCCCAGAUCGAGAGCUGGUUCUUCUCCUCAUGCCUCCACAACCUUCAGGAACUUGACAUCAGCUUCGAGUUCUGGGGUGGUUUACAUGCGUCAGUGAACCACUACCAGCUGCCAUUACCAUCCAUGAUCCGCUUGGCGCCGACUCUUCUCGUGGCCCGGAUCGGCAUGUGCAAACUCCCAAGUGACAUUGCAGCGCCUUCUCUGAAUUUCCCCCUCCUCCGGAAACUCACUCUGUGGCUUGUUUCAAUCUCGGAGGAAGCCAUGGACGUGUUGCUCUCUGCCUGCCAUGUUUUGGAGGCGCUGUUUCUGCAGGACAUUCAUGAUGUGGGUUGCCUCCACAUUAGCUUGCCAACUCUUAGGAUCAUAAGCUUCAGCGCUACCCUCCUUGGCAGAGAAGAAUUGGUCGUUGACGACGUACCUCGCCUUGAAAGGCUUCUUUGCCAAGGUGUAGACGGUGAGACUAUUCAAGUAAACAAGGCGCCUAAACUGAAGGUAUUGGGGCCUUUGUCACCACACGUCUCCAAAAUCAAGAUUGCAAACCUAGUCUUCCAGGGAAGGAUCCGGCCCAGCUUAGGCCAUUCGAUAUGCACCAUGAACAUUUUGGCUCUCAAGUUUUCUGGUCCUGAUUUGAACGCGGUUCUCGGUGUUCUCAACUGCUUCCCCUGCUUGGAAAAGCUCUAUGUCAUUUGGGACAAAUAUUUGAAGGCAAAGAUGAAAAACUUGUAUCAGUAUGACCCACUAAAUCCAGUCAAAUGCCUUGAGAGCCAUCUCAAAGUACUCGUGUUGAAGAAUUACACAGGUGGCGAGGAAGAAGUUGGAUUUGCCAAGUUUUUUGUUUUGAAUGCGAGGGUGGUGAAGGAAAUCAACUUUGCAGUGUGCGACACGAUUGCCAUCGACAAGAAUUGGAUGACUGAUCAACUCAGGCUGCUACAAGUGGAAGCUAGAGCUUCCCCGGACGCUCGUCUGAAAUUCAGAAGCGGUUACUCUCGCUGGCAGACCAAUUAUGUCAACUCAAGUGACUUGUCAAUUGCCGACCCUUUCAGCUGA